rnacentral:lncRNA from 1 species
CAGGUGUAGGUGCAGGUGUAGGUGCAGAUGUAGGUGCAGGUGUAGGUGCAGAUGUAGGUAUAGGUGCAGGUGUAGGUACAGGUGUAGGUGCAGAUGUAGGUAUAGGUGCAGAUAUAGGUAUAGGUGUAGGUGCAGGUGUAGGUGCAGAUGUAGGUAUAGGUGCAGGUGUAGGUACAGGUGUAGGUGCAGAUGUAGGUAUAGGUGCAGGUGUAGGUGCAGGUGUAGGUACAGAUGUAGGUGCAGAUAUAGGUAUAGGUGCAGGUAUAGGUGCAGGUGUAGGUGCAGAUGUAGGUGUAAGUGCAGGUGUAAGUGCAUGUGCAGGUGCAGGUACAGGUGCAGGUACAGGUGUAGACGUAGAGUUCCAGUCUCUCCACCUGUUCCAUUUGUUUUGUAUUACCUCAGCUUAACAGUAGAUGGC